CAUCUUACCAUGCAAGUCGAACGGGGUAUCAGGGUAGUAAUACCCGAAGUACCUAGUGGCGAACGGGUGCGUAACACGUGAGCAACCUACCCCAGAGCUUGGAAUAACACCGGGAAACCGGUGCUAAUACCGAAUACUCUCAUUCGGCCGCAUGACUGAAUGAGGAAAGAUUUAUCACUCUGGGACGGGCUCGCGGCCUAUCAGCUUGUUGGUGAGGUAACGGCUCACCAAGGCUACGACGGGUAGCUGGUCUGAGAGGACGAUCAGCCACACUGGGACUGAGACACGGCCCAGACUCCUACGGGAGGCAGCAGUGGGGAAUAUUGCGCAAUGGGCGAAAGCCUGACGCAGCAACGCCGCGUGGAGGAUGAAGGCUUUCGGGUUGUAAACUCCUUUCAGCAGGGACGAAACUGACGGUACCUGCAGAAGAAGCCCCGGCUAACUACGUGCCAGCAGCCGCGGUGAGACGUAGGGGGCAAGCGUUGUCCGGAUUUAUUGGGCGUAAAGAGCUCGUAGGCGGCUUGGCAAGUCGGAUGUGAAAUCUCCAGGCUUAACCUGGAGUCGCCAUCCGAUACUGCUAUGGCUAGAGUCCGGUAGAGGAUCGUGGAAUUCCUGGUGUAGCGGUGAAAUGCGCAGAUAUCAGGAGGAACACCAACGGCGAAGGCAGCGAUCUGGGCCGGUACUGACGCUGAGGAGCGAAAGCGUGGGGAGCGAACAGGAUUAGAUACCCUGGUAGUCCACGCCCUAAACGUUUGGCACUAGGUGUGGGGCCUAUU
rnacentral:rRNA from 1 species